UACGAAGGGGGCGAGCGUUGUUCGGAUUUACUGGGCGUAAAGGGCGCGCAGGCGGCCCGCGAGGUGUCACGUGAAAGCCCCGGGCUCAACCCGGGAGGGUCGUGGCAAACCGGCGGCUUGAGGCCGGUAGAGGUGGGUGGAACUCCUGGUGGAGUGGUGAAAUGCGUAGAGAUCAGGAAGAACACCCCGUGGCGAAGGCCGGCCCACUGGGC
rnacentral:rRNA from 1 species